GACGAACGCUGGCGGCGUGCCUAAUACAUGCAAGUAGGACGCAGUUGCGAACGGGUGAGUAACGCGUAGGUAACUACCUAUUAGAGGGGGAUAACUCUUGGAAACGCUAGCUAAUACCGCAUACUAGUAGAUGGACCUGCGUUGUAUUAGCUAGUAGGUAGGGUAAUGGCCUACCUAGGCAACGAUACAUAGCCGACGUGAGAGGGGGCGGGGCCACAUUGGGACGGAGACACGGCCCAUCCCUCUACGGGGGGCAGGAGGGGGGAAUUUCGGGAAAGGGGGAGACCCGUGCCAGCGAAACCCCGCGUGAGUGAAGAAGUUUUUGGGUUCGAAAAGCUCUGUUGUUAAGGAAGCGGUACUUAACCAGAAAGGGACGGCUAACUACGUGCCAGCAGCCGCGGUAAUUC
rnacentral:rRNA from 1 species